rnacentral:rRNA from 1 species
UGAACGCUGGCGGCGUGCCUAAUACAUGCAAGUCGUACGAGGGAAGUCCAGCUUGCUGGACGGAACGAGUGGCGAACGGGUGAGUAAUACGUAAGCAACCUGCCUGCAAGGACUGGGAUAACACCUGGAAACGGGCGCUAAUACCGGAUAGGUAACGGAGGGCAUCCUUCUGUUAUAAGGUUAAAAACACAAGCAGAUGGGCUUACGGUGCAUUAGCUAGUUGGUGAGGUAACGGCCCACCAAGGCGAUGAUGCAUAGCCGGCCUGAGAGGGUGAACGGCCACAUUGGGACUGAGACACGGCCCAGACUCCUACGGGAGGCAGCAGUAGGGAAUUUUCGGCAAUGGACGCAAGUCUGACCGAGCAACGCCGCGUGAGUGAAGAAGGUUUUCGGAUUGUAAAGCUCUGUUGUAAGGGAAGAACAGCACGGAGAGAAUCCGUGAAUGACGGUACCUUACCAGAAAGCCACGGCUAACUACGUGCCAGCCGCAGC